rnacentral:ncRNA from 1 species
CACCGCCCGUCGCUACUACCGAUUGAACGGCUUAAUGAGGCGUCCGGACUGGCCCAGAGAGGUGGGCAACUACCACUCAGGGCCGGAAAGCUCUCCAAAUUUGGUCGUUUAGAGGAAGUAAAAGUCGUAACAAGGUCUCCGUUGGUGAACCAGCGGAGG